AAGCCGCGGCGUUCCAUGCACCACUGCGCCGCCGUCGCGCCACCUCCGGCCACCAUCUUCACACCACUUCAUCCUCGACCUUUUAGCAACCCAUUAGACCCAAUCCCAGCUCCAAUCCGCCACCGGUGAAGCUCCACUAUCUACAUUUCCGAUUUGGACAUUUUUGGCCUUAA